GUGACUGCGUACCUUUUGUAUAAUGGGUCAGCGACUUAUAUUCUGUAGCAAGGUUAACCGAAUAGGGGAGCCGAAGGGAAACCGAGUCUUAACUGGGCGUUAAGUUGCAGGGUAUAGACCCGAAACCCGGUGAUCUAGCCAUGGGCAGGUUGAAGGUUGGGUAACACUAACUGGAGGACCGAACCGACUAAUGUUGAAAAAUUAGCGGAUGACUUGUGGCUGGGGGUGAAAGGCCAAUCAAACCGGGAGAUAGCUGGUUCUCCCCGAAAGCUAUUUAGGUAGCGCCUCGUGAAUUCAUCUCCGGGGGUAGAGCACUGUUUCGGCAAGGGGGUCAUCCCGACUUACCAACCCGAUGCAAACUGCGAAUACCGGAGAAUGUUAUCACGGGAGACACACGGCGGGUGCUAACGUCCGUCGUGAAGAGGGAAACAACCCAGACCGCCAGCUAAGGUCCCAAAGUCAUGGUUAAGUGGGAAACGAUGUGGGAAGGCCCAGACAGCCAGGAUGUUGGCUUAGAAGCAGCCAUCAUUUAAAGAAAGCGUAAUAGCUCACUGGUCGAGUCGGCCUGCGCGGAAGAUGUAACGGGGCUAAACCAUGCACCGAAGCUGCGGCAGCGACACUAUGUGUUGUUGGGUAGGGGAGCGUUCUGUAAGCCUGUGAAGGUGGCCUGUGAGGGUUGCUGGAGGUAUCAGAAGUGCGAAUGCUGACAUAAGUAACGAUAAAGCGGGUGAAAAGCCCGCUCGCCGGAAGACCAAGGGUUCCUGUCCAACGUUAAUCGGGGCAGGGUGAGUCGACCCCUAAGGCGAGGCCGAAAGGCGUAGUCGAUGGGAAACAGGUUAAUAUUCCUGUACUUGGUGUUACUGCGAAGGGGGGACGGAGAAGGCUAUGUUGGCCGGGCGACGGUUGUCCCGGUUUAAGCGUGUAGGCUGGUUUUCCAGGCAAAUCCGGAAAACCAAGGCUGAGGCGUGAUGACGAGGCACUACGGUGCUGAAGCGACAAAUGCCCUGCUUCCAGGAAAAGCCUCUAAGCAUCAGGUAACAUCAAAUCGUACCCCAAACCGACACAGGUGGUCAGGUAGAGAAUACCAAGGCGCUUGAGAGAACUCGGGUGAAGGAACUAGGCAAAAUGGUGCCGUAACUUCGGGAGAAGGCACGCUGAUAUGUAGGUGAAGCGACUUGCUCGUGGAGCUGAAAUCAGUCGAAGAUACCAGCUGGCUGCAACUGUUUAUUAAAAACACAGCACUGUGCAAACACGAAAGUGGACGUAUACGGUGUGACGCCUGCCCGGUGCCGGAAGGUUAAUUGAUGGGGUUAGCGGUAACGCGAAGCUCUUGAUCGAAGCCCCGGUAAACGGCGGCCGUAACUAUAACGGUCCUAAGGUAGCGAAAUUCCUUGUCGGGUAAGUUCCGACCUGCACGAAUGGCGUAAUGAUGGCCAGGCUGUCUCCACCCGAGACUCAGUGAAAUUGAACUCGCUGUGAAGAUGCAGUGUACCCGCGGCAAGACGGAAAGACCCCGUGAACCUUUACUAUAGCUUGACACUGAACAUUGAGCCUUGAUGUGUAGGAUAGGUGGGAGGCUUUGAAGUGUGGACGCCAGUCUGCAUGGAGCCGACCUUGAAAUACCACCCUUUAAUGUUUGAUGUUCUAACGUUGGCCCGUAAUCCGGGUUGCGGACAGUGUCUGGUGGGUAGUUUGACUGGGGCGGUCUCCUCCUAAAGAGUAACGGAGGAGCACGAAGGUUGGCUAAUCCUGGUCGGACAUCAGGAGGUUAGUGCAAUGGCAUAAGCCAGCUUGACUGCGAGCGUGACGGCGCGAGCAGGUGCGAAAGCAGGUCAUAGUGAUCCGGUGGUUCUGAAUGGAAGGGCCAUCGCUCAACGGAUAAAAGGUACUCCGGGGAUAACAGGCUGAUACCGCCCAAGAGUUCAUAUCGACGGCGGUGUUUGGCACCUCGAUGUCGGCUCAUCACAUCCUGGGGCUGAAGUAGGUCCCAAGGGUAUGGCUGUUCGCCAUUUAAAGUGGUACGCGAGCUGGGUUUAGAACGUCGUGAGACAGUUCGGUCCCUAUCUGCCGUGGGCGCUGGAGAACUGAGGGGGGCUGCUCCUAGUACGAGAGGACCGGAGUGGACGCAUCACUGGUGUUCGGGUUGUCAUGCCAAUGGCACUGCCCGGUAGCUAAAUGCGGAAGAGAUAAGUGCUGAAAGCAUCUAAGCACGAAACUUGCCCCGAGAUGAGUUCUCCCUGAGACUUAGAGUCUCCUGAAGGAACGUUGAAGACGACGACGUUGAUAGGCCGGGUGUGUAAGCGCAGCGAUGCGUUGAGCUAACCGGUACUAAUGAACCGUGAGGCUUAACCUUACAACGCCGAAG
rnacentral:rRNA from 1 species